GACGAACGCUGGCGGCGUGCCUAAUACAUGCCAGUUGAGCGCUGAAGGUUGGUACUUGUACCGACUGGAUGAGCAGCGAACGGGUGAGUAACGCGUGGGGAAUCUGCCUUUGAGCGGGGGACAACAUUUGGAAACGAAUGCUAAUACCGCAUAAAAACUUUAAACACAAGUUUUAAGUUUGAAAGAUGCAAUUGCAUCACUCAAAGAUGAUCCCGCGUUGUAUUAGCUAGUUGGUGAGGUAAAGGCUCACCAAGGCGAUGAUACAUAGCCGACCUGAGAGGGUGAUCGGCCACAUUGGGACUGAGACACGGCCCAAACUCCUACGGGAGGCAGCAGUAGGGAAUCUUCGGCAAUGGACGAAAGUCUGACCGAGCAACGCCGCGUGAGUGAAGAAGGUUUUCGGAUCGUAAAACUCUGUUGGCAGAGAAGAACGUUGGUGAGAGUGGAAAGCUCAUCAAGUGACGGUAACUACCCAGAAAGGGACGGCUAACUACGUG
rnacentral:rRNA from 1 species